GCCUCUAUAGCUCAGCUGGUAGAGCACCACCAUGGUAAGGUGGGGGUCAUCGGUUCAAGUCCGAUUGGAGGCU
rnacentral:tRNA from 1 species